UACGUAGGGGGCUAGCGUUGUCCGGAAUCAUUGGGCGUAAAGAGCGUGUAGGCGGCUCGGUAAGUCCGCUGUGAAAGUCCAGGGCUCAACCCUGGAAAGCCGGUGGAAACUGUCGAGCUAGAGUCCGGAAGAGGCGAGUGGAAUUCCUGGUGUAGCGGUGAAAUGCGCAGAUAUCAGGAGGAACACCAAUGGCGAAGGCAGCUCGCUGGGACGGUACUGACACUGAGACGCGAAAGCGUGGGGAGCAAACAGG
rnacentral:rRNA from 1 species